UGCAGGGUUGCAGGGGAGCUGAGGCCUAUCUCCAGCGAUCACUGGCAUCAUCUGACCUUUUUCAGUGGUUCUCCUGUGAUAACCUGUCAAGACGGAGAAAAACUCAUCAGUUCACCCAGAUCUGUCCAAGAACAAGCAGCCUGUAAUGAAAUAUGUGUGAGUGAAUAAAACAAUCUAUUUACCUAA